UGACAUCUGAGUGUCAGUGACUAAGUCAGCAUUUAUUACCCUUUCAUAAUUGCCUUGAGAAAGAUGUGGUGAGCUGGCUUCUGAAACCACUGCUGUCCAUGUGAAGCACCAACAGCAUCCAGGGAACUUUGAGAAGGGAUCUGCCUCAGACUCUCAUCUCCACCUCGGAGGAAGAAUUUUGUUGGCCAUGACUGGAUGCACUGAACCAGAUUAACCACAUGGACACCCAUUGUUUGUGUCAAGGCUUACACAACAUAACAGGCUACAAAGUGAAGUUGAAUGAAAUCGCGGGCAACAGUAUACCCAUACACAAGGAUCUCACUGCUUUCUAUGCUCACUUUGAACAGAAGGUCAGUGAAAUGACAUCACCUCUUCCAAUAGCCUCGAAUGCACCUUGAUCCUUUGCAAUACACCUAUACUCACCCUUGGCACA